AGAAAUUGGGAUGGUGGAUGUUAAUGUUUGUAUAGGCGAAACAAUUGUUUGUCACACACAUAAAAUUCAAAUCUCAUGUUGAAAUACGAAACCCAAAGUUCUAAGUUAUGUAAUUAUUUUACAGCUUGAAGUAUAGAACUCAAACAUGUAGCUUUGAGUGACUAAUUACGCAUGUGUUCAUUUACUUAUUUAUUUUAGUAAUUUGAUAACCUUUUUAUUAUUGAGGCAUAUUUUAAUUUUUCAUGACAAUUAAUUAGUUCUGAAAUUUUUUUAUUUUAUUUUUUUAGACGUAUUCAAUAAUAUCAAAUCUCACGAAGCUUAAGUUUGUUGCACUUGACAUUUAUGGCAAGAACUAUUUGACAUGGAUCCUCGAUGCUGAAAUUCAUUUGAAUGCAAAGGAUCUUGGAAAUACCAUGAAGAAGGAAAAUGAAGCAUCUCGGCAGGAUCGCUUGAAAGCUAUGAUUUUCCUUCGCCAUCACAUUCAUGAAGGGUUGAGAUCUGAAUACAUUGGGGUGAAGGAUUCCACUAUCCUAUGGAAAAAUUUGGAAGAAAGGUAUGACCAUCAAAAGAGUUUAAUUCUUUCAAAGGCUCGUUAUGAUUGGAUGCACCCGCGCUUAUAGGAUUUCAAAACAAUGAAUGAGUAUAACUCAGCAAUGUUCAAAACUGUCUGACAGGACCCGCCCCUAAUUCCUCAAAACCUAAGACGAAUCCUGUGGAAAUCCCGACAUCACUCUAAUGUCGGGCCCACUCACUAAAACUGUAGCCUCUUUUUUCAAAAAGGAAUAAAGGCACAAGACAUUCUACCGAAAUUCCAGCAUAGUCUCCCUUGUAAAUUGAACAUUUCUCAAAUUUCAACCUGCACAAAGUUCACAAUUUAAUAUCCCAACAAGCAGCACGCACAAUAUAACAACAUGCAAUUCACAUAGACAGCCUCCGGCCUUCAAAUGAUCUGAUAAGCUCAUAAUUUCACACAUUUGCAUGCCUUCUUUCCUUAGUAAUUUUGUUAGCUUCUCUUUAUUUUAAGUCUCUUACCUAUGUUUGUGUGCUUUGUAGGUUAAGAUAGCAAGGGGAUGACAUUUGAUAUAAUUCAUGCAUGUUAAGGGCUGAGUGGCACAAGAGGAAUAUGGGCUUAAAGACAAAACCAAUUUGUGCCACACUCCUUGUCAGUCCAGUUUCGUAGGUCAUCUUGCAGGCCUCCUUUCAGUAACUUACACAGGUCGGAUGAGGAGACAUCCUUCAUAGACGUUGUUCCAAUGGGUGUCUAUUAUAACAUAUCCAAAUUUCAGCCCAAUUGGAUAAAUCUAGAGCCCUCAACACGUCAAAGACUGAACCAAGUUCACUGAAAAGUCAUAGUUGGCUGCCAUCAUAUUUAAUGUGGCUACAUCUCUAGAGCCAUGUGCUACACAUUAGAGCAGCCACACAUGGGAGACAAAUCAAUAUGGGCAGCUAGAAUUGGCACAUGGGCAGCUGGAGUUGGCAUAUGGGCAGCUAGAAUUGGCACAUGGGCAGCUGGAGUUGGCAUAUGGGCAGCUGGAUUUGGCACAUGGGCAGCUAGAGCAAGUGGAAACAGCUAAGAGAGGUGUGCUUCACCAGCCAAAGGGGAGCACGAAAUUGCACUCUAUAAAUAGAGAGUUGCACACUCAUUCAAGGGAAGAGAGGGCAGACACACACAUUCACUUCAUCCAUUACUCUCAUACACACAUUCAGAUUCACCACAAAGAGAGAAGGGACCUUGGAGCUGUCCUGGGAACUACCUUGCUGCCACCAUCUAGUCCUUCUCCUCUCUUCCCUUGAAUGAGUGUGCAACUCUCUAUUUAUAGAGUGCAAUUUCGUGCUCCCCUUUGGCUGGUGAAGCACACCUCUCUUAGCUGUUUCCACUUGCUCUAGCUGCCCAUGUGCCAAAUCCAGCUGCCCAUAUGCCAACUCCAGCUGCCCAUGUGCCAAUUCUAGCUGCCCAUAUGCCAACUCCAGCUGCCCAUGUGCCAAUUCUAGCUGCCCAUAUUGAUUUGUCUCCCAUGUGUGGCUGCUCUAAUGUGUAGCACAUGGCUCUAGGGAUGUAGCCACAUUAAAUAUGAUGGCAGCCAACUAUGACUUUUCAGUGAACUUGGUUCAGUCUUUGACGUGUUGAGGGCUCCAGAUUUAUCCAAUUGGGCUGAAAUUUGGAUAUGUUAUAAUAGACACCCAUUGGAACAACGUCUAUGAAGGAUGUCUCCUCAUCCGACCUGUGUAAGUUACUGAAAGGAGGCCUGCAAGAUGACCUACGAAACUGGACUGACAAGGAGUGUGGCACAAAUUGGUUUUGUCUUUAAGCCCAUAUUCCUCUUGUGCCACUCAGCCCUUAACAUGCAUGAAUUAUAUCAAAUGUCAUCCCCUUGCUAUCUUAACCUACAAAGCACACAAACAUAGGUAAGAGACUUAAAAUAAAGAGAAGCUAACAAAAUUACUAAGGAAAGAAGGCAUGCAAAUGUGUGAAAUUAUGAGCUUAUCAUGAUCCGAAGCAAAACCAUCAACAACGCUCUUAAGUCAAAUAAUACUCUAAACAAUGCAGGUAAUGAAUUCAACAAUUUUAUGAAUGCCCACUGUAAUCAAGAUAACAUAACCUCCCAUAUUGUGAUGUUUAACAUCCUAACACAAACGCAAGUUGUUUAAGGCCUCAGCCCAACUCGUACAACAAUCCAAAAUGAUAUUUAUACAUGUUUGACCCAAACACAUUUGCACAACCCUCCCUUAGCCAAACGAGAGUAGAAACAACUAUUCAAUUGCACCUUGGUAUCAACCAAGUUUCAGGACCAACGACAAGGUCCAAGUUUAACCCACGGCUGCACCUAGGCUGCCUACGUACCCUUACUGAAGGAUCAAGUCACACAUAGUUCUUUCUACAAACAUGUCUUUCCCAAUAUAACAUAACAAUCCUUUAUUCAUCUCCCUGAUAAUCACAUAAUCUCCCCAUACAUCGAAAAAUCCAACGACACGUAUGGGGUCUAUCAACACGCCGGAAAACCUACGUCACGUGUGACCUAACCAUCACAUAAUCUCCCUAUACGCCGAAAAAAUCCAACGCCAUGUAUGGGGUCUGUCAACACGCCGGAAAAUCCUACGCCAAGUGUGACCUAACCAUCACAUAAUCUCCCCAUACGCCGAAAAAUCCAACGCCACAUAUGGGGUCUGUCUUAAAGCCAAAAAAUCCUACGCCACUUGGGACCUAACAAUCACAUAAUCUCCUCAUACACCAGAAAAUCCAACGCCAAGUAUGGGGUCUAUCCUCACGCCGAAAAAUCCUAAGCCACGUGAGACCUAACUAUCACAUAAUCUCCCGAUACGCCGGAAAAUCCAAUGCCACGUAUGGGGUCUGUCAGC
rnacentral:lncRNA from 1 species